rnacentral:rRNA from 1 species
UACGAAGGGGGCUAGCGUUGUUCGGAAUUACUGGGCGUAAAGCGCGCGCAGGCGGCUAUCCAAGUCAGUGGUGAAAGCCCGGAGCUCAACUCCGGAACUGCCAUUGAAACUGUUUAGCUUGAGGACGAGAGAGGUGAGUGGAAUUCCCAGUGUAGAGGUGAAAUGCGUAGAGAUCCGGAGGAACACCAGUGGCGAAGGCGACACGCUGGGCCGUACCUGACACUGAUACGCGACAGCAUGGGGAGCGAACGGG